rnacentral:rRNA from 1 species
AGAGUUUGAUCAUGGCUCAGGACGAACGCUGGCGGCGUGCCUAACACAUGCAAGUCGAACGAGGUCCAUCCGGUGGCAACACUGGUGAAGACCUAGUGGCGAACGGGUGAGUAUCACGUGAGCAACCUGCCCCGAAGACUGGGAUAACACCGGGAAACCGGUGCUAAUACCGGAUACCCCCACCGGAUCGCAUGGUCCGG